AUUGUACUUCAUCAGGUGCUCUGGUGUCAGUGGAAACCCGGCACAUGUUGAAGUACACUCA
rnacentral:pre_miRNA from 1 species